CACUACCCUCUUGGCUCCUCCAUGCUCGUCCCUAUCACCCCCACGGCUUCACACGCACCCACGCCCUCCCUACCCCCAAUGCCCAUGGUUUUUUAUACCCCUCGGCCUGCCACUUCCCCACACUACUACUACAUUCACAUCACUUCCGUUACUUUUCGUCAAAGAAAAAGAAGAGCAUCAGAGCAAAAUUACUAGGGUUAUUUUGAAAUUUUAAUUUUAUAUUACCAGUAAUCUGAUUAUCAUACCAAAUAUGCUAAUCAAGAUUUUUAGUAAUUUUAUUAUAACAUUACCUGUGUG
rnacentral:lncRNA from 1 species